rnacentral:rRNA from 1 species
UACGUAGGGCGCGAGCGUUAAUCGGAAUUACUGGGCGUAAAGCGUGCGCAGGCGGUUCGUUAAGACAGGUGUGAAAUCCCCGGGCUCAACCUGGGAAUGGCGCUUGUGACUGGCGGGCUGGAGUACGGCAGAGGGAGGUGGAAUUCCACGUGUAGCAGUGAAAUGCGUAGAGAUGUGGAGGAACUCCGAUGGCGAAGGCAGCCUCCUGGGCCAGUACUGACGCUCCUGCACGAAAGCGUGGGGAGCAAACAGG